rnacentral:rRNA from 1 species
UACGUAGGGUGCGAGCGUUAAUCGGAAUUACUGGGCUUAAAGGGUGCGUAGGCGGCGUAGUAAGUUGGGUGUGAAAUCCCUCGGCUCAACCGAGGAACUGCGCCCAAAACUACUAUGCUUGAGGAAGAUAGAGGUAAGCGGAACUUACGGUGGAGCGGUGAAAUGCGUUGAUAUCGUAAGGAACACCUGUGGCGAAAGCGGCUUACUGGGUCUUUUCUGACGCUGAUGCACGAAAGCCAGGGGAGCAAACGGG